CACUUUCUAGUAUGUGGUUUGGUCAAGAAGUGAAACUCUUUACCACCUAAGUAUAUAAUACACGAGUUUCGGCCUCGGUGUUUGCUCAGACUCCUGACUGGUUGUAAUUAGUGCCGCUGUAUUUGACGGGUGUAGGAGCACGUUACGUGGCUGUAACAUCACAAGCAUUUCAGUGAUUAAGUCACCUGUGAUGACCUUCACUAAUCUGUUAGUCUAAUUAUCUAAUUAUCGUGUGUGUUUGGUCUCUCUGUUCUGGCCCGCUUAUGGCGUUCCCUUUGUUCACUCUACUUACACUUUCGAGGCUACAAACCCCUUCCGUAUACCGCCCUACGCAACAAUUUCCGGCUGUGAUGGCCGCUCGACCCGCCAGACCAUUGUCAAGGUGAGCGAGAAGUUCUUCCGUAGGAGAGAGUGGGAGGGGCCAGGAGACGAGCCAGUCUCUUCCGUCUGUAUAUAAAGAUUUGCUCCUCCUCCUCGCGACACCAGUCAACAAGACGCUGUCUUCUUGAAAAUCCUUCCGUCAGCAUGAAAGGUCUGAGUGUGGUGAUGGUGGUGGUGACCCUGGCCGCCCUGAUGGGGUCCACGCUAGCUAUGCCCGAAGCCUACGCCCUGGCCGACCCUCAACCCGCUGCUGACCCGCAGUUUGGAUUCGGUGGAUUUGGCAGUCGCGAAUUCUUUGGUCGCGGCUUUGGUCGACGCAGAUUCGGUCGACGCGGAUUUGGCCGUCGUGGUUUCGGCCGCCGAUUCGGCAGUCACGAAUUUGGAUUCGGCAACUUCUUCUUUUAAUGAAUAAUACUGUGUCUGUCUUUCUCCAACUCUCUCCUAAGUGUAGCGUCUUGCACGGAAAAUCCAUAGUGGCAAAUUCUUAAACUGCAGAACAUUAUUUUUAAAACUCAAUGACUUUGCAGACCAAAAAAGAACUAUUCUCUAGACAGAAUUCGACUAAACAACACUAUGGGACAGUCAAAACACGCAUAUAUAUCGUUCUCGCCCUCAUCCAUCUCUACUAUCCAUCAACGUCUCCGUCAAUCAUCCAUCACUUUCAUCCAUCAGCUUUGAACCUUCAGCACAUCUUCUCUAAUGCUUAAGUCAGCACCUGCAUCCUUCAAGAUGAUUUAUUUAUGAGGCUUCUAUCUCGUGCUUAUCAGAUAUCUUACAUAAACUGACAGUUAAGUUAUUAACAAAUAACCUUGUAUAUGUAAAAUAAACAGAUUGCCAUAUA